UGACCAGCAAGAUGAAGAAAGGUGCAUUUAUAUAACUUACUUUUCGUCUUUAUAGAUCAGAUCGGCAACAACGGAAAAGAAAAAUGAGUAAACGAAAAGCAAUGUUCAGUGAAGACGAUGAUGAAUACUUUUCAGGCGGGUGUAGUUAUAUAGACCCAAGUUUGGUUCCAAAUGGGUUAUUGUAUCUUUCGAACAGGUCAUGGUUUGUUUCGAACGAUCCGCCUCCUUUGGGGAAUG